UCCUCGGGGGUGCCGCUCGACGCGGCCGUGAUGGCCGGACGAAGCGCGCUCACGACCUGCAGGAGCUCGCCACCCAGGAACACCUAUCGCCACGCAAAGGUCGAAGUUAAUUUUCCCCUGUUCUCUCGCUAGAAUCGACACCAUCCACCCAAUCUUGUAUGUGGGCGUAUUUGCAGAGCUGCUGCUGCAGGAUACAUUGCUUUAGUUAACUCUAGAUUUUCAUACUAGUGCUGCAUGCGUGGCUCAAAUUUCCACUGGAUAUACAUAUGAAGAAAUUUUCGCACCUACAGGAAAUUCACCUGGGUUUGCAUGGACGUUCGUUGUAGGUGUCCCUGGCAAGAGUGCAAACCAGCCCGUGAGUUCACUGCGGCAGCGGCAUGCUAUGGCAGCUGGUGGCCAUCGUCUUCAACUCCAUGGGCUUUGGGAAUAAGUGGAUGUGCAGCUGGCUAUGAGGUAGUCAUGGCCGCCUGAUCUGGCUGGCAGUGGCGGCCUUCUUCUUCGACUCGGCAGGUUUAGAACCUCAAGCUCUUUGGAGCUGAUCUGGACCACUAGUUCAACAAAGCAGUUUAAUUUCUGGAAUAAGUGGAUGUGCAGCUGGCUAGAAGGUAGUCAUGGCCGCUGGAUCCAGCCGUCUGGCAGCUGUGGCCCUCUUCUUCGAAUUGGCGGGUUUAGGCAGGGGAGGUUGUUGCAGGCUUGGUCUUGUGCGGCUCUGGCCGGUCCACCGCGUCCCUCGCUGACUACAUUUGACUAGCUACUGCUAUCACGAGACUUGAUGGCAUUCCCUCUGUCCUCGGUUUUCUGGUAAUGGACAGAAGAUCAAGACUUGAGUUAACCAGCUUAAUUAGGACCCGGAAAUAGGUAGCGGUAGCCUUUUUGUAUGCCUCUGUGUUUAGGUGAGUUAAUUUGUGGUUCACCCAUUGUAUCGUAUACGUGCUCCAUGGCCAUUGAGCAGCCUGUGACAUGCUAAAUGGUAGUGAUGACUAGGUUUUGGCUAUAACACAGAUAAGUUGUGCUUGCGCGUUUUUUUUUUGUUUUUUUUUUGCGGGUAGUGCUUGCGCUCUUGAUAUUUGGUAUUCUGAGUGGUUUGAUUGUUGAAUUAUAUACCUGCUGCUGGUGGUACGUACUAGUCAACUUAUUGAUUUCCAGUAAGAUACAUUAAUGGUGGGCUGUUGAAUUUU